CGGGGUGGAGCAGCCCGGUAGCUCGUCAGGCUCAUAACCUGAAGGUCACAGGUUCAAAUCCUGUCCCCGCAACCA
rnacentral:tRNA from 5 species